rnacentral:tRNA from 1 species
GGAAAGGUGCAAGAGUGGUUUAAUUGGCACGCCUGGAAAGCGUGUGAACCUGUAAGGGUUCCGCGGGUUCGAAUCCCGCCCUUUCCGC